GAAAGGUAAUGGCGGUAAUCUCGGUUAAGAAAGGCAUACAAUUCCUUAAUUCGCGAAAUAUUAAAUCGUUAGACUUCAUACCAAAUACACCACAAUUUCUUCGUACCAGCAACCCAAUUUUUGAGAUACUGAUAUCGACGACUUCAAUUAAAAAACAAAUCAAUUGAUUUCAUCAUUGAUCAACAGGUACAUAAUACAUUGAAUUCACGUCUUUUUAUCUUUUGUAUUUGUAUGCAUAGGUAUAAAUCGAUUGGUAAUUAUAUAGAAUUUGUUGUGUAUUCGCUUCAUCUUUUUGAGGUCCAAUAUUGAAUCGAUAGGUAAUUUGGUUUUCUAAAGCUUUGUUUGAAUAUCGAUUUUCUAUUACAUUUUGGCUGAAUUCUAUAUGAAUCGAUUGGUUAUUAGAUGUUCUAAUUGAAUAACUUAAUUUAAUUGUAUUUGAAUUGAUCUGGUAAUGGGGAACAUGAACAGAUUUCAAACUGUAAUUGUAUAAAUUCUCCAUUGAUAAUUGGAGCUUUGGCUGAAUGUGUUAUACUUUGGCUGAAUUCUAUAUGAACCGAUUGGUUAUUAGCUAUUAUAAUUGAAUAACUUGUUUUAAUUGUAUUUGAAUUGAUCUGGUAAUGGGGAAUAUGAACAGAUUUCAAACUGUAAUUGUAUAAAUUCUCCAUUGAUAAUUGGAGCUUUGAUUGAAUGUGUUGUAUUUUGGUUGAAAACUUGUUUUAAUUGUAUUAGAAUUGAUCUCAUAAUGUGGAAUAUGAAUAGAUUUCAAAUUGUAAUUGUACAAAUUCUCCAUUGAUAAUUGGAUUUUUGGUUGAAUGUGUGUUUUGAAUAAUUUUCUGUGGAAUUAGGGUCCGUAUAAAAUAGUGUUAAUAUAAAUAUAGAGUUGAUAUAUGUAGUUGUAUAACUUAUCUAUCGCAGUACAUAAUUGUAUAAAUUAGUUUUAGUGAAAUUGUUGUUUGAAUAUGUAUAAUUCAUUGAUGGUUAUAAUUUUAGUAGAAUUAAUGUCUGUAUAAAUUAUUCGUAAUUGUACAAAUAGAGACUUGAUAUAUGCAUUUGUAUAUAGGGGUGUUCACGGAUCGGUUUGGAUCGGUUAUUGGUAAAAAUCAAAACCAAACCAACUUAAUCGGUUCUAAAAUUAUCAAAACCAAACCAAACCAAAUAUAAUAUACAUUUAUCGGUUUUGUGGUUAUCGGUUUCGGUUUGGUUUGGUUUGGUUUGGUUAUUCGGUUGUUAACCAUACACAAAAAUAAAAGAAACAAUUUAUUCAAAAUGUGAAAAAAGUGACAACAAUCCAUUCAAAACGAAAAAUAGUUAGAGUGACUUAAAUUACCGAACUUUCGAUCACUGAAUUUACUAUCAAAUAAAGCUUUAAUAUUCACUAUAUUGGACUAGAAGAAAGAGACAAUAACAUUUUCAGUCCCACAAAGAAUUGUCAUAGACACUCAUACACAUGAAAUCAAUAAGAUAAAUGUUCACCUUGGACAUUCUUGCUUUCAAUAAGUAAAGUAUAAAGAAAUUUUAAUGAAAACAUAUAUAAGAUCUUUAAAAUUGUUUAUAAAAAACAAUAUAUUAAGUAUAUAUAUUAAUAACAUAUAUGUAUAUAAUUCAUCGGUUGGUUCGGUUAUUUCUUCGGGUUUUUUUCGAAUAAAACCAUAACCAAACCAAAUACUACCGGUUUUCCAAAAUCUAAAAUCAAACCAAACCAAACCCAAAUAAAAUCGAUUUUAUUUUAUCGAUUUGGUUUGAUUUUUCGGUUUGGAUCGAUUUUUAUCCAAACUAUGAACACCCCUAUUUGUAUAUUUGAUCUAUUAUCGUCCAUAGUUAAAUCUAUUUCACUCUUUAUUAGCUUCAAUUGAUAAUUAUUGUAUAAAUUAGUUGGUAUCAAUUGAUUUAAGUUUGAAAAAUUAAAUAAAUUAGUUUUGGUGGAAUUGCUAUCUGUAUAAAAUGACCAUUUCUGUUUGUAAUGUAUAAAUGGAAUAAUCACAGUUAAUUUUUACUUAUAUUUAAUUGUAUACAAUAAUGUCUUUGUAACACUCCGUAUUCAAAAAAGGGAAACGAACCAGACUUUGGGAAAUUGCAGGUGCCAACCACGAGGGCCACCCACGGCCCAUGGAUGGGACCACGGACCAUAGGUGUGGUUCGUGGAUGGCCCUGCCAGAGUGGCCUAGAGUCUUAGGACCAAGGCUUGACCUACGAACAGUAGGCCAGACCACGAUCAGUGGUUAGGGUCCGUGGUUCGAGGCCCAAAAACCAACUUUCUGAUGGCCAACCACGGUCCACCAGGACGGACCGUGGGUCAGACCACGACCUGUCGACUGGGGUCCGUCGGUGGCCAGCUAUUAGUUAUUGUUAGGGUCGGUUGGAUCUUUUCCUAAUUUAUUUAAUCCUAUACUAUGUCAUUUUUCCUAUAUUUAGAACCCCUAUACCCUUUAACCCCCAAAUUCACCCUAUUUAUUUCAUUCUUCAAAAUUCACAAAAAGAAACCAAUUCCUCUCCAAAUAGUCUCUCUCUAGAAAUUUGAAGAAGAAGAAGAAGAAAGAUUCUAACGUUCCAAUUCCUCCAUUGAAGGCUAGCAAUUGGAGUCAAGGUAUGAUAGUUUUCAUCCAUAGAUUCCUUCCAUCCAUGGACUUUCCAAAUUCCUCUAUGUCAAAUGGUAGAAUUUCCCCAAUUGAGUUAGGGUUUUUAUCAAUUAGCAUGAGUUCUUAUCAUUAUUGAUUUAAAUGAUUUAAUUAUGAUCUUCUAUGUAUGAAUUGAUGAAUUGCAAUGCUUUUAUGAUGAAUUCCCCUAUGAACCCAUGUGAUCCCUAUGUUUCCAAGUUAUGAACUAUAUGUUGUGGGAUUUGAUCUUCAAGAAAGAGUUUUAUGAAAUUGAGCAUAUAUUACUAGUUUUACAUGAAUUUAUGAUAAAAUCCAUAUCUAACCCAUGUUUUCUAAGAGUUGAUGAUUGAAAUAGGGUUUUGACCUCAAGGAGGCGAAUUAUGGACUUACACAUUGUUUUUAUGAAAUCUAUGCAAAAAUUUUAAGGGUGCUUUGAGAGCAAAGUACCAAUGAUGAUAUUGUAUUGUGAAAGGAAAUUCUCACUAAAACACAUACUAGCAAGAUAUUAAAGGUUUUUCCUACAUAGAAAGGUUUCUUAGGUUGGAAGUCUUUCUGACCUAAUUGAAU
rnacentral:lncRNA from 1 species